rnacentral:rRNA from 1 species
GUCCACACAGUAAACGAUGAAUACUCGCUGUUUGCGAUAUACAGUAAGCGGCCAAGCGAAAGCAUUAAGUAUUCCACCUGGGGAGUACGCCGGCAACGGUGAAACUCAAAGGAAUUGACGGGGGCCCGCACAAGCGGAGGAACAUGUGGUUUAAUUCGAUGAUACGCGAGGAACCUUACCCGGGCUUGAAUUGCAGAGGAAUAUAGUUGAAAGAUUAUCGCCGCAAGGUCUCUGUGAAGGUGCUGCAUGGUUGUCGU